rnacentral:rRNA from 1 species
GCCUAACACAUGCAAGUCGAACGGAGUUGAGGAGCUUGCUCCUUAACUAGUGGCGGACGGGUGAGUAACGCGUGAGUAACCUGCCUCUGAGAGGGGAAUAACGUUCUGAAAAGGACGCUAAUACCGCAUAACACAUAUUUGCCGCAUGACAGAUAUGUCAAAGAUUUUUAUCGCUCGGAGAUGGACUCGCGUCCGAUUAGUUAGUUGGUGAGGUAACGGCUCACCAAGACCGCGAUCGGUAGCCGGACUGAGAGGUUGAUCGGCCACAUUGGGACUGAGACACGGCCCAGACUCCUACGGGAGGCAGCAGUGGGGGAUAUUGCGCAAUGGGGGCAACCCUUGACGCAGCAACGCCGCGUGAAGGAUGAAGGUUUUCGGAUUGUAAACUUCUUUUCUCAGGGACGAAGAAUGACGGUACCUGAGGAAUAAGCUCCGGCUAACUACGUGCCAGCCGCGGC